rnacentral:lncRNA from 1 species
UCGAAGAUGUGGUGGUGGUCUUGUUAGUAAAUUAACCACCCAGCCCAGCAAGGAACCAACAACAAAUGAAAUGAGGAUAUUUAAGGGCAUGAACCACCUACAGAAAACAAGGAAGCAACCAAACUUAAAAAAUGAUAUGAUUGUUCAUUACAGACAGCAUGCUGAUGUAAGAAUAAGAAGGUAACUCACAACUUAAUAAUGCUUUCAUAUGUUAUGGUUUUCGCCAAGUUGCUUGUUAUAAGUGCUGGACUGAACACAUAAAAUACAAUCUGUUUGCAAGAAGCAACCAUGUCAUCACAUCAAACGGAGACUUAUUCAUCACAAGAAAAACCAUUUCUUCAAAACUAUUAAUUUGGAGUCGAGAAAAUGCUCCAGAAAAUUUCGAUUUUGACCAUUUGUGUGACAGGCAAUCUUAACAUACGGAGGCAUAUAUUUGUGCACACACAAACCUAUAAUAUGUUCCAGAUAUGAGGGACCAAGGGAACAUCGUUCUACAUGAUAACUAAGAGCAAGUAGAAUCGUGGUGCUAAAAUACAUAUAGAUUUUGCUAUAUUAUGAUCAAAAAGUGAUUUUGGAUGUUGAAAUAGAACUUAUACUCCAAUGAUAAUUUUAGAAUAGCACCAAAUUAUCUAAAUAUAACUAUAUUUCACUCGCUAACUCAUUAAAUGCACUAUUUUAUUUGUCAACAUUACUUUAAAUGUUGAUUUUUCACUUGCAUGCUUAUGUGUGAAACUGUGAAUUAUAGCAAUACCUAUGCUUGUGUUCUAUAUUUAGCACCAAGUAUAGUAUUUUGCUAUUUUGCAUCCAUGUUUAGCAUCCCAUUGGAAUGAGGUUUUUUUCUUGGGUGCUAUAUCAUAGAUAUAACACCACUUUUAGUACCUACAUUGGACUUGCUCUAACAUAACUGUAGUUAAAUUGAUCAACAUAAUGGAGAGAUUUACAUAAACGCGGUUUGUUGGUGUUAAAAAUUAUUUUCAUAGGAUGAGGGAUAAGAGUUUUAUUUUAAUAAUUUGGACACGUUUACUAUCUAUUUCAGGUCUCAGAAGUCAGAAGGCAUCCGUUCAACAUUUCAGGUGCCCAUGUCAUGACUUCGACUCUCUUAUCUGACAUGUUUCUGUAAAUAGUCUCUCUACUCUCGCAAGUAAGGGGGUAAGAUUGCGUACAUCCUACUCUUGUCACACUCACCCUUCGAGGAGAUAAAUGAGCAAGUCAUCGUUUUUUUGUAAGCAGGAGAUUGUGGAUUAAAGUUUCUACCCAAGUCCCUUUCAGAUAUAUAAUUAGAAGGUGCAUUAAGAACCAGACCCAAGUUUAUCUGAAUUUUAGCUAAAUAACACUGAAAAAUAAUUUAAUAUCUAGGUUAAAUUUGCCUAAGCUCUACAUAUCAAGUAACAAAGCCGCACUUAGGUUUAUCUGCAAAUUGCAUUAUCUGUUAGUCCAUCAUACAUGGAUCGUGAUCUCGAUUAAAUCAUGGCAGCUAACUAGUAUUUUGUUCGAGAAGAUUCUAAACAUUAAUACAAGUAUGCAAUUGACAAUAGAUGAGACACUGAGUUUUACGCACAGUGUUGAGAUGUUUACGUGCAUCCGGGCUGAGUACGUUGAUAUGGUCUAGAGCAAGCAAUGAUCCCAGAGCAGUGAGCAAAAGGACCUUGACCACCGGCACUGAGGCAGCAACAAAAAGGCUGAAAAGCCGCAUUAGCCCAAUCACUCCGACCACUUGACUUGACAUUUUUCACAUAUCAAACAGAUACAAAUCAAUUCAAAUCAUAAGAUGGAAUACAUAAAAGAAAAAUGUACUAUCGCACUAACAAAUUUAACCUAAAAUGAUCACAACUCAAAGGUACUAUAGAUUAUAUGAGAAAAGACUUACUAUAACACCUAAAAAUAAUAUAGACUCGCCAAAUAACAAGAGAGAAUUGAAUUUAAAGCGAAGACGAGUCGUAGAAAAUCAGGGUCUAUUUGAGAUUGUUACGUAGAUCGAAGUGAAGGAAUGUGGGAAGGGUUGUAAAGAUGUAAGUUGAGAUUUGUAGAGUGGCUAGUCAAACAUAAAUAAUGGUUGCGUACUUGAAGGGAAGAGGGAGCGACGCGGUUCCAAUCUGCAUGAACAAAUUAACUUAAACUUAUCUUUGGAGUAGUAACAUUUUAGCCUUUUAGGUAUGGAAAAAACUUGUGUGGUAGUUUCUGUAGUAUAUUGUGAUAAAAUGCCUUUAAUUACCGAUCACAAGUAAAGCAAAAAUAAAUGAAACUAGUCCCACAAUGUAGAGGGCAUAAAGGGAAAAUAAGUUGUAUGUGUACUGCUUGUGCUGCAACUAUUAACAAUUUUUUGGGGGCAUUCCGAAUGAAGAAAUGUGGCCCGUUGUCAACAGGCUCAUGAACCGGCAUGAUUCCCCAGUGGAAACCGCAGCAAAUGUCAUCAGCUAACCCCAAUCAGGAAGAGGAUGGUCUAGAUUUUUUAGCAGUGAACCUGGAAACUUCACUUUUUAAAUUUUAGAUAGUUUUUAACUAAUUUAUACAAAUCUUAAUAUUUGCAUAAAUCGGGGCAUUUGCAGCAAUCACCACACAGUGUAAUCAACUGGCAAAAAAGAUGAAAAACCAGGAAGAAACUAUGUAUUGAAGCUAUAUUUUCAGUUCAAUAUGCUAUAUUUCAAAAAUACAUGUUGAAGGGUGCAACACAUUCUUUUCCUGUAGUCUUGUAGCAGUUCUUUAUUUUCACACCUUCGAAUCUGUAAUCCUUUCAUGUGGUAGAAAUAGCGGAAUCAAGCGACCAACCACAUGAAGAAGGUACACCAAAGAGUAAGCGAUACAGUAGCAAAAACAUAGGUCCAUAGCAUUAUAACAGAACAUUCGCUUUCACCUUUACCAAACAACUGUGUUAUUGUACCUGCAGUCACGUUGAACAAAUAGACCAGAUGACUACAAUAUAUUCAAGGCAAUAGCUUCAUGAAAGAUGCUAAGUAUAAGACGAGAGGCUCAGACUCAGAAGAGAGAGAGAGUCACCUAUGUAGGAUUACCUAUAUUCAUAGCAGGAGGGACCGCGAACUGAAGUAAAAGAACAAACUGGUACAGAGGAUCUGCUGACACCAGAUUAAACCUGACUGCAGUGCGAACGAUCAAAGUGCCUAUUAUUGGCAAGGCAAUGUAUCGAGCAAUUAUAAUGCCAACAAUCAUGGAUUUCUGGAUUCCUGAUGCUUGCAAACCUGCUCGGAAAGUUUCAGAAGUGUUAGAGGCUUGGCUUUGUCCAUAUAGAUUCAGUCUUAACUAAGCUGAGGCAGGUGUAGUUUGUUGUUACCUUUCAGGAGGUUUGCGCCAAUUAUUAGAGUGAGAACUGGCACAGCUGCAUCUCUGCAGUUUAAGAAACGCAGAUACAGAACAUAAUUCAAUAAUUUAAAACUGAAUGGAAGUCGGAAGAUCAGUUAUACAAAAUUACAAGCAAGGCACUGCUCAAGACUUUAAGCAAGCGCGUGUUCAGAGCUUUUACCCAAUCCAGACAAUUGAGUCUUCAAUCACAUGGAGAGGCGCUUCAUCACCAAUCAAUAAAUUUUUAAGCAGAGGCACAAGUCCUAUUAUGAAGCCCAAGAUCUGUACAUGAAACAGAGAAAUUUUUUAAGUCACCACAUAAUUCCCUAUAACCGACACGGCCAAUAGUUUGAAAAACCUAACAUGUAUUUGCAUAUUGCUAUGUUUAACGUAGAAUGUCAACAAUAUUAAUGGGACCUUACUGCUGCAUUCGUUGAAGGGGAAAAUAACUUCUUCAAAUUGAGAUUUCUUGAGAUGUUCAUGACAUUUUGCUUUAGUUUAUCUGCAACUCCCACCUGCCAAAGAUCUACUAUCAAGACUAACAUUUGAUAUAAAAUUAUAGUGAAGAAAUAUACUGUACAAAAUUGUACACCAAGAAAGAACUGUUGGAGGGGCCAUAAGGGUAUAACAGAAAAGAGUGCUUAAAAGAAUCUAGUGAAGUUGCAGAUUAUUUCUAAAGUUCUAGUGCAAAGUAGUAAUUUUAUUGCCAUAACUAACCUGUGUUCCAUCAAACCUAGUGCAGGGUAAUGAAUCUGCUUUGUCUUCAGACACGUUGUAUUCUUUUGGAGAAAGUAAUGGUUCAGUGAAACUCUCCGGUUCUGCAGUGCCUGUUAUAGUAGUGCACUCACUAACAGAGGAAGCACUUACUUCUAUAGAUAAUCGUAUUACAUUAUAAACAUAACCCCACAGAAAGAUAGCUCCCAUCUGCAAUGCAACAAUAGCCAUAUCGAAAAUUUGCAAUGAGUGCCUGAUGACAGAAACAUCAUUUUUUGUUGCAUUCAUCUAAUGAGAUAUUCCAAAUUAAGGAUUAGCUAAAAGAGAUUAUAUACCGCCAUGGAGAGUGAAGUAUAAGCAAGUCCAUAUGUGCUACAGACAUCGGGAUCUCCAAAUGGGCUUCCUUUUUCUUUGCAAACUGCUGGGACUAUAAUGAUGAGAAUGUUGCCCAGAUUUCCUGUAAUAAUUAAAUUGUGAAACUAUUCAAAAAAAAAUAGGGCAAAUUAAUUUAUAGGUCCUUGAACUAUUGACGUUUUAUUGUCUGGGUCCCUGAACUAAAGAUUCCGUAUUUUAGGUCACUUAACUUUUCUAUUUUCUGAUCUAAGUCCCUCCGUCAAAAAGAUUCUAACGGUGUUAACUAGGGUUCUUGAGUUUCUUACAGAUCAAAGCAAUUUUGAAGGUGUUAGUGAUAUCCAAACUCAAAGUUCAAGUAGUCAAAUUGAAUCUUGAAUCACUAUCGACACUCAUAUGACAACAAUUUUCACAAAUUAGAUUUAAUUUUAAAAAAGCCCAAAUUGGACCAUAAAUUUAAGGUUUUUUAUCGAAUUUAGUGACCUAAAUUUAUAAAAUUUUAAAUUAAACAUAAUUUUUAAAAAUUGGUGUCAUAUGAGUGUCGCCAGCGACCCAAGCUUCGAUUUGACUACUUGAACUUUGAAUUUGGAUAUCACUAACACCUUCAAAAUUGCUUUGAUCUGUAUGAAACUCAAGAACCCUAGUUAACACCGUUAGAAUCUUUUUGACGGAAGGACUUAGAUCAGAAAACAGAAAAGUUAAGUGACCUGAAAUAUGGAAUCUUUAGUUCAGGGACCUAGACAAUAAAACGUCAAUAGUUCAGGGACCUGCAAUUUAAUUUUCCCAAAAAAAAAUAGCAAAACAAGCUAUUUAACUUGUGUCCCGAAUUAUGGUGUUCCAAUGAGGAAACAGUUUAGAUGAUUAUAACUGCAGCUAUCUAGACAGUUUUUCACCUGCUUUUCAGCAAAAAGCUGUUGUUGCUGUCUGCAACAGCAACCCCAAACAGUAUCUAAGUAAAGAUGCACAGAGACAGAGUAACAACAUCUAUAGAAGAGGCCAUUCGAGAGCCUGAAUUCGUUC